GUGUCUGAUAGCAGGCGCGAGCACAGCGGCCGCUGCCGGACGUCGUGUCUGCUGGUCGGUUGGUGUUUCUCUGAAAGUCGGUGCCGUCGAACUUCCCGCCAUGGCUGAGUUAGAUCCGUUCGGCGUCCCCGCUGGCGGUCCCGCCGCCCUGGGGAACGCAGUGGCCGGGGAAGAGGACCCUGCCGCGGCCUUCUUGGCACAGCAGGAGAGCGAGAUUGCGGGCAUCAGAACGACAAGGCCUUCGCCAUCCUGGACGGUGGUGCCCACAGAUUCCAGCCUCACGGCGAGCCGCCGGGGGUUCCAGAUGCUGUUGAUGGAGUGAAGAAUGGAGAACACUAUCAGGAGAGUAAUGGGCCGACAGACAGUUAUGCAGCUAUUUCACAAGUGGAUCGAUUGCAGUCAGAGCCUGAAAGUAUCCGACAAUGGAGAGAAGAGCAAACGGCCGCUUGGAAGCCCUUGAUGCCAAUUCUCAGAAGCAGAAAGCGGAGCGGAAAGAAAAAGCAAAAAAGGAGCUGGACGAGUGGUAUGCAAGGCAGGACGAGCAGCUCCAGAAGACAAAAGCCGACAACAGGGCAGCAGCAGAAGCCUUUGCCAUUGAGGAGUCAUCCCCAGGCACUGAGUGGGAACGGGUGGCCCGGCUGUGUGACUUUAACCCCAAGUCCAGCAAGCAGGCCAAAGACGUCUCCCGCAUGCGUUCUGUCCUCAACUCCCUCAAGCAGGCCCCCCGGGUGCACUGAAGAGCCUCCCUGCGGCAACACUACAUCUGCAGCAUCUUAAUCCUACUCAGUGAAGCUCUUCACGGUAACUGGAUUAAUUAUGUUGAGCAAGGACACAAU